GGGCGAGAACGCUAAGCCUCGUGCCUCAGAGCCCCGGGCCGGGCCUGCCAGGGUCCCCUAGACCCCAGGUCCUCACGCCCUUCGCACGCGGGGAUGGGAUGGCCUCCUUCGCCUCUGUCUGUCCGCGAGAGGAGCUCUACCUCUUGGCCUUUAUCCCCAAAGAGAACAUCCACUUGCUUUGACUUGGACGUGGAUAUCCACAUGUUCCAGUACACUAUUUCAAAAAGAUGAUCCUUUCUCCUUUGAGUUGCCUUGGUGCGUGUGUUGAAAAUCAAUUGGCUGAAAACCUCGAGGCAGAGGCCAGUGAUCCGCAGCGAAGUGAACAGACCAUCUCACUUGAUCGCCAGACAACUCAUUGAAUUAGCUAUUUUCAUCCACAUUUUGCAAAAUGGAAACUGAUGUUCGGAGAGGGCACAUCACCACCCUCGCUAUCACCACCAGCUCCCAUCAGGGAAUCUACAAGGCAACGUUAAAUCUCAGGCACAGCACAAAACUCCUCAAAGGAUAAAUGAACACUGAUAAGUGGUUAAUGUAUCUUGCUUAUCUUUCAUUCUUCACAUGUUAAAGGUUUAGUUUUGUCUCAAGAUUCGGGAAGGCAGAUGUGAUUUCCAUCACCAAGGAUUAGGUGGGAAAACCAAGCUGAAUUCGUAAGGGUUGAUCAUAGUGAGCUUUUAUUUAUAUUUUUUAUUUUUUAUUUAUUUAUUUUUUUUCAACGUUUAUUUAUUUUUGGGACAGAGAGAGACAGAGCAUGAACGGGGG